AUUCAUUUUUUGAAUCCCUUUACUCAUCCCUAUCCCAAGACACUUUUAUUGCCAGACCUGUUCUUCCCAGAGAAACCCUAAAACACAAACCCCCGCAACCCAAAAUCACACUCCAUUUGCAGAAACCCUAGAUUCAGCACAAAAUGACGUUCAAGCGAAGAAAUGGCGGACGAAACAAGCACAGCCGAGGUCACGUCAAGUUCAUUAGCUGUUCGAAUUGUGGAAAAUGUUGCCCCAAGGAUAAGGCAAUUAAGAGAUUUAACGUGAGGAACAUAGUGGAAUAAGCUGCUGUUAGGGAUGUUCAAGAAGCUUGUGCUUUUGAUUAGUACACACUUCCAAAGUUGUA